AUCGUAUUGUGUUUGACAUUGGUGCCUAAAGUGCGUGGUUCUGGGCAAAUACAUUGCCGGCUUAUAACUUACUAAGGUGUGAUAUUCCACAACUCCAUCUUAUCACCUCUACAAUAGACCAACAAUAUGAAAUUCAAAUUUCCACCUAAGUAUAAAAUAUAUGAUUACUUGAUGUAUACGGGGAAUAGCAUUUUGUUUGGAGGGACAGUGUUCCUGGCCGGACUCACCGUUUAUCAUAUAUUUCGUUAUAAAACAGUACGGGUCCCAGAGAUAGAGGAGGAAGUCCGACUAUAUAAGGAAGCUCAGUUAAUGAAGGAACAAGUGGAAAGAGAAUCUAUGCUGAUGAGGGACAAACAACCAAAAAACUGACAUUUUCCUGUAGCUACUUCUGAUAAAUUUUGAUAUUUUCUGACAUGAAAAAUUACCUGUAUUCAGUUUAAUUGUGUUGGGAAUAUUUCAAAUAUUUAUCAAAGUUUAAAAGUUGACAUUAGUGGAGAGUGAUGUGAGUGAAUGCAAAAAUGUGUGUUUUAUUGAAUGGUGAAUACUGAAUAUGUAUAGUCCCUAAAUGCAGAGUACAGGUUUAUAGUUAAACUGCAUGAGUAACCUCCCUUAUGAAAAAGCACCUUAAUUGUUUUUCAGGUAAAUAGUGGAAAAGAAAAUUAAAUAGGAAUGAAAUCCUUAACUUGAUGAAAUAAAAAGUUACAAUAUGUCUAAAUUUUACAAAAUUACCUGACAACUUAUUUUGUAAUCGAUCCAUGAGUAGUAAACCCUUCAGAGGGAAAACAACUCGUACAAGUUGAAUAUUUCUGUCCUCUGCAUAUUGGGAAUACAGUAAAACCUGUGUCAGCUGAACAACACUGCCACCGAGUAUGUAAUUCAGAAUCCGCAGGUGAAUGAACAAUUCAGGUUUAAGUUAUUGGAAGUUUGAAGGUCCAGUUAACACAAGUUUACAAGUGGAGGUCCAGACAGGGACUAGACUGUCUGGUGUAUGAAUUUGUGUACAUUUAUCUGUUUUGACAUUAUGUUCUGAACUUUAUUGAGAAUUGUGUAUAUUUAAGAAAGAGCCAUCUUUGUCAUGUAAUAUAGUGAUUUUCAAUAACCCUUUCACCACUGUAGACCAUAAUGGACUCACCCAGAAAAAAAUGUAUGGUAGAGUCUACUAAAGUUACCUAGGGGUGAAAGGGUUAACGCUGGACUUGAGGUAAAAUGGCUGACCACUGUACGAUCAUUCUGCUUCACCUCAUUUCCAGCUUUGUGAAAAUCGCACUUAGAAUUGUUAAUUAUCACCAUCCUUUGAUGUAACUUCCAUGGACGACAUCAAUCUGACAAAAAAUUAAAAUAACGUUACAUGAUAAUUUGUAUUUUAGCAUAAAGGAGAAGGUACAUUUUUUUCAUGGAUUUAUGUAUUACUGUAAAAAUACUUAUAUUAUCGAACAUAACUCGCAUUUCCAUGCAAUGUUGACAGUUUUCAAGUUACAUGUAUCUUGAUUUACAAGAGCUCUGUAUAAAAUGCAGUGAUUUUCUAUACAGCCAUUGAGUUUUGUAGUUUUAAGUGUGAAAAGUGCUGAAAUGAGAUCACCACUAAAAUAAGGAUAUUUACAGUAACCAAUUUCUACCGUAAUUAAAUCAUGUUCAUCACAAAUUCUGCUACAGAAUACUUCCUGUAUAUAUCUAUGUAACACAGACAUCAUUAUGUGAAUCAUAUGAAGAAGUUAUUAAAUGUGAUAUUUGA